ensembl:lncRNA
CUCCUCCCCUUCUCCUCUCUCUCCUCCCUCACUCUUUCAUCUCUCUCACUUACUCUGUUUCUCUCUCACACACAUUGAUUCAGCACGGUGGAGGUUGGUGCCUUUUAAGAUGAGUGAGGACGAUACAUGUUUUGUUGCAAACAAGAGUUUCCAUUGGACAAAUUCAGGCAAUAUCAAUGCUGUGCGUUACAGGGAAGACAUCCUCCUCCCUCAUGUGGUACCCUUCCUGUAGGCUCAUCCUGACAUGACCCCCCAGCAUAUCAAUGCCACCAGCCAUACUGUUUGUUCUGUGUGUGAUUGUCGUGAAUGUCAGUGUUCUGCCAUGGCCAGCGAAGAGCCCAGAUCUCAACCCCAUUGAGCACGUCUGGGACCUGUUGGAUCGGAGGGUGAGGGAUAGGGACAUUCCCCCCAG